AAUUUCUAGCGACGCGGGAGAGGAGAAGAGUAUCCACCGUGCGACGAACCGGAUCUCCCUCGAUAGGACUUCCGGUUAACCGAGCCCCUCUCACCUUCCGGCGAGGAGACCGAUCGCUCGUGAAAUCGAAGGGUACCCACCAACGUAAUUCGAUAGAAUCCAGGAUCGAACACUUUUCA